AUUGCCAUUGCCAUUGCCAUUGCCAUUGCCAUUGCCAUUGCCAUUGCCAUUGCCAUUGCCAUUGCCAUUGCCGAUGGCAAGGAAAUUUCUAUCCUCGACAAUAAAAAAAUAAAAAAAUGUAAAAAAUACGUCCCUUGACUUUUUAUAUAUGACGCUCGACUGAGUUUUAAUAUGACCCUCGACUUUUUACCCUCGACCAUCGACAUUAAUUGGACCCUCGACUUCACACCCUCAACACUCGACAAAAACCGGCUCAAAUUGUUACAGUCUGUUUAUUUAUUUACAGUAUUGAUCAGUGUUGAUCAUUCCCUGCUGGCAGAGGUCUCUAUUUGUG